rnacentral:rRNA from 1 species
ACCUACGGGAGGCAGCAGUGAGGAAUAUUGGUCAAUGGGAGAGAUCCUGAACCAGCCAAGCCGCGUGAGGGAAGACGGCCCUAUGGGUUGUAAACCUCUUUUGCCGGGGAGCAAAAAGCGGUACGUGUACCGCAUCGAGAGUACCCGGAGAAAAAGCAUCGGCUAACUCCGUGCCAGCAGCCGCGGUAAUACGGAGGAUGCGAGCGUUAUCCGGAUUUAUUGGGUUUAAAGGGUGCGUAGGCGGUCCGUUAAGUCAGCGGUAAAAUUGCGGGGCUCAACCCCGUCGAGCCGUUGAAACUGGCAGG